rnacentral:rRNA from 1 species
GUCUAUGGCCAUACCACCCUGAAUGUGCCCGAUCUCGGAAGCUAAGCAGGGUCGGGCCUGGUUAGUACUUGGAUGGGAGACCCCCUGGGAAUACUGGGUGCUGUAGGCU